UUCAAUUUUGUCAAUUUAUGGCUUUUCUAGGCAAUGAUGUGGGACAGAAAAGAAGAGGAAGACGUUGGUGAAGGAGAGGGCAGCACAAAUGUACACCGCUGUGGCCAGGUUAUUUCAUACGACACAGCCACAGGUGAUGUACAUGAAUGACGGCAGAUGGUUGAGGAUUGAGGGAAUGUAGAUGCGACUAGCGAGCACUUACUCUGAGGUGCUUUCAGAUGAUGGUUUAAUAAGACUGUUUGGACAAAAUUCUGAUUUUUCAACACUUGUUCCAUGUGCGAAUAUUCUGGGAGCACCAACUCCAACUGCUGACAAGGUGAAGCUUAUGAUCAGUACAGCUUUGUUUGACAUUUGGCUGGGCUAAAAAAAAUAUCAAUGGGAGCUUUGGACGGCCCGAUUGCAUUAAUGCCUGUGGUUGCGAACGUGCAAGCCUGCAUCCCGUGAUCUUCUCUUUGACGGUUCGACUUUGCUUCCAUAUCUCCUCCUUCGGUCCUCCACAGCCUCCAUGACCAUUGUCCGUGCACAGCCGCCAUCUGCCGCAGCUUCGUCAAUCGUCCUUCUCAGGUGUCAGCGAUCUUAGCCGUGAGGAGCGAGCGACACACCGUUCCCGUCGACGCCGUCGUCCGUCGGCAUCCGGUAUUGCUGUACGCUAUACCUAUACUGAUUGUGAUUGGUGUCCCAUCCGACACCAAAACGAGAACCCCUUCAAUUUGUUUUAUUCCGGGCUACUGCGCUAAUCCGUACGUGUUCAUUACUCACUCCGACGGAGGCCAGGGCGCGUUUGGUUACUGGAUCUGUCCGGUGGGAGAUGGUAGCGCGGGAUAUCUUCAACCGGUUUGGAUGACGGUCAUGUAAUAGGAUAGGCGCUUAGUUUACCUAUCUCUCUUUAUUAUGCCAGCCGGUUGUGGCUUUUGAGCCUUGUUUUACUUUGCUAGCUCUUUGUGAGCCAGCAUCCUUUAUUGCAGCACUUUGCAAGACAUUGUUGAACUACUUUAUUUAUUUAUAAAU